rnacentral:rRNA from 1 species
CGUGUAGGCGGUUGGUUAAGUCGGAUGUGAAAGCCUGGGGCUCAGCCCCAGAAGUGCAUCCGAAACUAUCCAGCUAGAGCGCGAUAGAGGAGGGUGGAAUUCCUGGUGUAGCGGUGAAAUGCGUAGAUAUCAGGAGGAACACCGGCGGCGAAGGCGGCCCUCUGGAUCGUUGCUGACGCUGAGACGCGAAAGCGUGGGGAGCAAACAGGAUUAGAUACCCUGGUAGUCCACGCCUUAAACGAUGGGUACUAGGUGUUCGGGGUGUUGACCCCCUGAGUGCCGCAGUUAACGCAUUAAGUACCCCGCCUGGGGACUACGGCCGCAAGGUUAAA